rnacentral:rRNA from 1 species
GUCUAUAAUGCAGUCGACGAACUCUGGUAUUGAUUGGUGCUUGCAUCAUGAUUUACAUUUGAGUGAGUGGCGAACUGGUGAGUAACACGUGGGAAACCUGCCCAGAAGCGGGGGAUAACACCUGGAAACAGAUGCUAAUACCGCAUAACAACUUGGACCGCAUGGUCCGAGUUUGAAAGAUGGCUUCGGCUAUCACUUUUGGAUGGUCCCGCGGCGUAUUAGCUAGAUGGUGGGGUAACGGCUCACCAUGGCAAUGAUACGUAGCCGACCUGAGAGGGUAAUCGGCCACAUUGGGACUGAGACACGGCCCAAACUCCUACGGGAGGCAGCAGUAGGGAAUCUUCCACAAUGGACGAAAGUCUGAUGGAGCAACGCCGCGUGAGUGAAGAAGGGUUUCGGCUCGUAAAACUCUGUUGUUAAAGAAGAACAUAUCUGAGAGUAACUGUUCAGGUAUUGACGGUAUUUAACCAGAAAGCCACGGCUAACUACGUGCCAGCAGCCGCGGUAAUACGUAGGUGGCAAGCGUUGUCCGGAUUUAUUGGGCGUAAAGCGAGCGCAGGCGGUUUUUUAAGUCUGAUGUGAAAGCCUUCGGCUCAACCGAAGAAGUGCAUCGGAAACUGGGAAACUUGAGUGCAGAAGAGGACAGUGGAACUCCAUGUGUAGCGGUGAAAUGCGUAGAUAUAUGGAAGAACACCAGUGGCGAAGGCGGCUGUCUGGUCUGUAACUGACGCUGAGGCUCGAAAGUAUGGGUAGCAAACAGGAUUAGAUACCCUGGUAGUCCAUACCGUAAACGAUGAAUGCUAAGUGUUGGAGGGUUUCCGCCCUUCAGUGCUGCAGCUAA